rnacentral:lncRNA from 1 species
CGACUACGGGAACGAAGGAAGGAGAGGAGAUUUGAUCUCACUCGCCCGCUUAAGGAUUCCACCUCGCCUCCGAGGCAUCCCGGAAGGCCUUGACGGCUCCGUUGCCGAGAGAACCCGAGGCUACCCUUGUUUCCCCGAGAGUCUCUGAAGUCUGCCGAUUCACCUCUUCCUGAGCCAAUGCAACUAGGCAGAGCUAGGCUGUCUCCAGCCGAACGGCUAUACAGGCAUCACACUAAGAGUUGCCUGUAUUGCGGGACUACUGGUCAUUUUGUCUCCACCUGUCCACUAAAAGACUAGGCUCACUGGUAGGAGUGAGUACUCUGGGGGGCCAUACAGAGAACUUUUCCUCUCUCCUUACUCGCACCCCUUUUCAUGUUAUUUUGCUUUGGGGGAAACAGUCGAAAUCUCUCCAGGUACUCAUCGACGCUACCCUGGCAUCCGAACUGGGCAUCCCCAUUAAGCCCCUCUCCAUUCCCAUGGAUGUUAGAGUACUGGACGGGCGCGCUAUAGGCUGUGUCACCCACAAUACCACCCCCUUCAACCUACGUGGGUCAGGGAACCACAGCGAGACCAUCCAAUUCCUAAGUCUUCUCAGGUUCCCAUGGUAUUGGGAUUCUCUUGGCUCCAGCGACACAAUCCCCUUAUUGACUGGUCUGCUGUGCCAUCAUGGGCUGGAACCCGUUCUGCCACGCUCAUUGCCUGAAGUCAGUGCAGCCUGCCCCAGGACGUCUUCCUGGGGGCUCGGCAGUCGCCCCGGACCUCUCCACUAUUUCCGCGGAGUACCAGGACCUCCAGGAGGUGUUCAGUGAGACCCGGGCCCCUUCGCUUCCGCCGCACCGACCCUAUGACUGCGGGAUUGACCUUCUCCCAGGCACCACUCCGCCCCGGGGACGACUGUACUCUCUGUCGGGUCCAGAGACCAAGGCUAUGGUGGCCUACAUUGAGGACUCCCUAGCUGCAGGGUUCUUCCGUCCUUCUGCCUCCCCCGCUGGCACAGGGUUCUUCUUUAAGGAGAAGAAGGACAAAACCCUGCGCCUGUGCAUCGACUACCGGGGCCUCAACAACAUCACUGUGAAGAACGCUAUCCGCUACCACUCAUCUCCUGGUCCUUUGAGCCACUCCAGGGGGCCACCGUGUUCUCCAAGCUGGACCUAUGGAACGCCUACCACCUGGUGCGGAUAUGGGAAGGGGACGAGUGGAAGACUGCCUUCAACAUGGCCAGCGGUCACUACGAGUAUCUGGUCAUGACAUUUGGCCUUACCAAAACCUCAGCUGUGUUCCAGGCUCUGGUUAAUGAUGUUCUCCGCCAAAUGUUGAACCGGUUCGUCUUAGUCUACCUCGACGACAUCUGCGUCUUCUCCCACUCCGCCCAAGAACACGUGCGCCAUGUCUGACAGGUUCUCCAAGUUUGUGGGACUCCACCUGGAGGGGCAUAUCCUGGGUGGACAGCCAUACCCGGGGUGCCGGGCUCCGGUGGCGGUUCGCUUGUUGUCAAUACCUGGAGGUGGUCUUGAGAAGAGCCAACCGGGCUCUCUUCCAGGAACGAUGACAGCGGCGGACAAACAUCUGGCCGAAUGUAUGCCGACCUCUUCCUCAGGGAAGAGCAAGGGCCGAUAACCCAGGGAACACUCAAAGGGCGAGAGACCCUUGGCAGAGCAAGGAAGGUUGCUAUCUAUUGUGCUUGAGGCCAUUUCACAGCCGCCAUUCAGGCCACUGGAAAGCAUGGAAAUUAGAUGUCUCUAAUAAAUGACCACUUUACAUAUAGCCAGUAAGACUAGCUGUCACCAUUGGCGUCGGCUAAUGGGGAUCCUAAUAAAUAAAAGUAUUUCCGUAAUCUCUUGGGCCAACGCCCUGCCCAGGAAGGCCCAUUUCCUGCCAGCGUCUAUCCCACUGGAUAGUGGGCUAUUAUACUGGCGUAUAAAAGCAAAGUUUAUCACCCUCGGAGGGCUUGAGAGCUCACUCCACUAGAGGUAUGGCGGCGUCAUGGGCAAUGUUCAAGGGCAUCUCUGUUCAAGAGAUUUGUAAUGUGGAACGUUGGCCUACCCCCCCAUACCUUCAUGAGGUUCUACCGACUGGUUGUCACUGCACCCUCAUUGGUGCAUACAGAUCUCAAUGUCAGGGCCCCUGAGGGGUGAUUCCGUCUAGACUACCUAGCUUUGGAGAGUAUACGAGUGCUACAGGAGUUGGCUAUAUCCCCAUAGUGAGAGACCAAAACAAAUAUUUGAAAGAGAACUUAAGGUUACUAACGUAACCUCGGUUCUCUGAUAAUAUGAAUGAGGUCCCUCACCGCGUUUCACUUCAUAUUGUGCGUAAGGAAGAAGACAUACUUGAUAAUGAAGUUGGAAGACGGGACCGUGGCGCCUGAUAAGGAGUGGGUUCCCCACUAUUCACAUAUCCCGUAGUGAGUGACCUCACUCAUAUUAUCAGAGAACCGGGGUUACACAAGUACUGUAACCUUAGGUUAUUAUACUCAAAUGUGGAUAAAUGCACGGCUUCUUUUGACCAAUAUCCUGGGCCCAGUUUAAAAAAAAAUCUUAAUCUGGAUCAGAAUGAUUUUUUUGCUGUCCAGAAUCAGAUCGGUCUUUUUUUUAGCAAGUUCUUCAGAAAAUAAGUGGAUAGGAACAUUUUGAUCCCGAUAUUACAAUAUAAAGGUCACAGAUCUGGAUUUUCAGUGUGUUUUUUAAACCUCCCACCUUAGUUACAUUGACAUUGUUUGGUUGUAGUGCCUUUCAAGAGAGUAGAGGCUUUAGAAACAUUUGCGGUGGACGAUAGACGGGCCGGAUUCCUCAUAUUCCUGCUUGGAAAUCCACAUCUGUUGGAAGGUGGAGAGAGAGGCCAGGAUGGAGCCACCGAUCCACACAGAGUAUUUACGCUCAGGAGGGGCGAUGAUCUUAAUCUUAAUCUUCCAACCUGAAUCCACCCUUCCAGUAGAAUCAAGAUCAUCCAGAUUAUUUCAGCCUCAAAACUAUCCUAAUCGCUACCUUUUUGAAUUUUGAAAAACGCAACUACAACAUUUAAUCUUUAUUAAAGUUGAGAUUGUAUUAGCAAAUCCGAAUGUUCCUAAUCUAAUUCUUCAGUUUCGAAAAAUCCAAAUCUAAGAUUUAUCUGAUUUCUUUGAUUGGAUUUUAGCAAUGUUUUUAAAAACUGGGCACGGGGCUGACCACCCACUACUGACCACCCAGUGAGCACAACUGGUUGUGUCUUCCACUGCUCACUGGGCACCAACCAUUGGAUUGGUGGAGGCAUGGCCUAGUGGGGGUUUCCACCAUAUUUCUUAUACCAGUCAUUUCCUUUCAAAUCAGGGAAGUAAACAAGUUCACACUUUGGGAGGAAGGAGAGAUCAUUUUGCAUAUAUAGUGAUGUGGACACCCCUUCAAAUUAGUGGAUUCUACUAUUUCAGCCACAUCCGUGGUGUAUAAAAUAGAGCACACAUCCAUGCAAUCUCCAUAGACAAACAUUGGCAGUAGAAUGGCCUUACUGAAGAGCUCAGUGACUUUCAACAUGGCACUGUCAUAGGAUGCCACCUUUCUAACAAGUCAGUUUAUCACAUUUCUGCCCUGCUAGAGCUGCCCCGGUCAACUCGAAGUGCUGUUAUUGUGAAGUGGAAAUGUCUAGGAGCAACAACGGUUCAGCCACAAAGUGGUAGGCCACACAAGCUCACAGAACAGGACCUUCGAGUGCUGAAGUGCGUAGCGUGUGCAACACUCAUUACCAUGUUCCAAAUGGCUCUGGAAGCAACGUCAGCACAAUAACUGUUCGUCAGGAGCUUCAUGUAAUGGGUUUCCAUGGCCGAGCAGAGGUACACAAGCUUAAGAUCACCAUGCACAAUACCAAGCGUCGGCUGGAGUGGUGUAAAAGUCGCUGCCAUUGGACUCUGGAGCAGUGGAAAUGCAUUCUCUGGAGUGAGGAAUCACGCUUCACCAUCUGUCAGUACGACAGACGAAUCUGGGUUUAGCGGAUGCCAGGAGAACGCUACCUGCCCGAUUGCAUAGUGCCAACUGUAAAGUUUAGUGUAGGAGGAAUAAUGGCCAGGGGCUGUUUUUCAUGGUUCGGGCUAGGCCCCUUUGUUCCAGUUGAGGGAAAUCUUAACGCUACAGCAUACAAUUACAUUCUAGACAAUUCUAUGAUUCCAACUUUGUGGCAACAGUUUGGGGAAGGCCCUUUUCUGUUUCAGCAUGACAAUUCCCCCGUGCACAAAGCAAGGUCCAUACAGAAAUGGUUUGUCGAGAUUGGUGUGGAAUAACUUGACUGGCCUGCAUAGAGCCCUGACCUCAACCCAUCGAACACCUUUGAGAUGAAUUGGAACGCAGACUGCAGACAUCACCUCAACCUCACUAAUGCUUUUGUGGCUGAAUGCUGCAGGGACUUGCUUCCAAUGUUCCAACAUCUAGUGGAAAGACUUCCCAGAAGAGUGGAGGCUGUUAUAGCAGCAAAGGGGGGACCAACUCCAUAUUAAUGCCCAUGAUUUUGGAAUGAGAUGUUUGACGAGCAGGUGUCCACAUACUUUUGGUCAUGUAGUGUAAUUGUAAGAGUAAGAUAAGAGUAAUUCGGAAAUAGCCCUGAAGUAGGCUACUGUCACCAUUUUCUGUGUCAGUGGGAUUGACAAAGCUUCUAAUAGGUUCUAGUUGUUUCUCUGUAGAUAGGGUACUGAGUUUGUGUCUCGGAAUAUACUGUGUGCAAAGAUGAAUGAUCUGCAGCUUUGAUUUGAAUGACCCACUUACACUCACUGGUAAAACAUGGCAACCAGAGGAGGAGAGUGUAUUUAUCUGAUGCUCUUCACCAUUGGUUCAUAAUAGAUCCACCCCUUCCCCUUUAAAAGUCUAUGACUUUUACAGAAGAAGAGAAAGACCCAGAAGAGAGCUCGAGUAAAACUGGUAUCCUGGACAUUUGCUUAAUCAAGAAGACAUGGAAAGGUAAUUUGAAUGACUUUACUAAAAUAUAAUCGUUUUUCAAUUGAUUUUGGAGAUCGGCAACAUUUAGCACUGUUUUUUGUGUACAAAGCACUCAGAAUGGUUCUUGAAGGCAGGUUUAACAGGCAGCAGAUGUCAUACUUUCAGUACAUUGUGUUCUCUUUUUACAGUGUACUAAAGUGGAUGGAGAAGCUGCUGUUUCUGCUGGUUCUGACCUAUGGUUGUUAUGGUGAACCUCAAGAUCUCUCAGGGAAAAAGUUCAUCAUCCCAGUCGAGACAAGCGACUCGUUUGUAAAACUCUCUGACAACGUCUUAAAGCCUGUUAUUGCUAUGACCAUGUGUCAGAGGUUCUUCACUGAGGUACAACGAGACCAGUCCCUUUUCUCUCUAGCAACCCCCUCUGAUUCCAAAGAUAUCAAUCUGUGUCUGCAAUCAAAGGGUGGGUAUAAACUGAAUAUCAGAGGAAAUUCUGUUACUAUCAACGGUUUGCCAGAAAAUAGAAAUGGAUGGAUCUCUUUUUGUGUCACGUGGGACUCUAAAACUGGUCUCACCCAGAUGUGGGCAAAUGGGAGACGAAGUGCAUCGAAGAUUCUUAAGCCAAAUGGCCCUAUAAAUGGAAAACCAAGUAUAAUCUUAGGUCAAAACCAAGGCAGUUAUGGUGGAGGUUUUGUAGCAUCACAAUCCUUUGUGGGGGAUGUUACUGAUGUACACUUCUGGGACAGUGUCAUCUCUCCUUGCCAAAUCAAAUUGUAUAUGCAAGGGAAAAACUUUACUCCAGGAAAUAUUCUCAACUGGAAAGCAUUGGAGUUCACUACUGGGGGAGGGGUGUUCAAGGAGAUAAGUGACUAUACCUGUUAGCAAUACAUUUGUACCCGGUAUUGUUCAUGUUUUACAAAUGAUGAUGACAGUAAUCAUAAUACAUUUUAUGUUCAUAGCAGCUUUCCCUUUAAAAGCUCUGUUACGAAUCAAUAUCCCAUAUUUUUAUGUUCCUGAGUACUCAUUUAAUAGAAAAGAAUAGUGCAAUAAAGUUUCAAUAAUUUCUCAUAAAUGUUUGUCUGUCUUUCAUUUAGCGUUUGUAUGCAGAUGACCUCUGAAAUAGUGUAAAGUGUUAUUUUCAGAGGAGAAUGAAACCGAAAAAGCAAGAUGUCUUUAUUGACAUUUUUCCAGUGUGUCUGUGUGCACAGGUCGUUGUGUAAACAGAGAUGAAUGACUUUGCUGGCCAAUUGCAACUACCAGGCAGAACCACAUGCAGCUCUGUAUUAGCGCUGGAGUUCAUGCACCUACGUGUUGGAACAACUUUCAUGCAACUAAAAACCCACAAGAAUAAACCAGCAGAUCAGUUGAUCUCAUGUUACCGUGUCAAGCUUUGAUUAGAGACAGCUGCGUCUAGGUUCUCUACUCCCGCUCCUUAUAGGCCUAGUCUGGUAAUCGAUCUAAAAAAAAGACUUAUUGUAAGAAUAUAGGAUUAUAUUUCAUACAAACAUGUAAUCUUAAAUAUCAAGAUAAUUAUAAUAUAAUUUGUGUCAUUUAUUUUAAAUAACUUGAUGAGACUACAAUUUCUUCGAAAGCCACCGUCCGCCAUAUUGGUAGCCUACUCCUCAUGUCCCCUAUACAGGGGCGCAACUUUGGUUUCAGAAGUGUUUACAUUUUUUAAUCCAGACGGAUAAACAUUCCAAACAGCCUACCCGACCGCUCGGUGGCGUCCGUAUGGUCAUAAAGCACACCGUUUCCUUGUUUUGUAUCAAAUUCCAUUGAUUAAACUGGGCAGGACAAUUUCAGAAUGUUAGGUGGAGCCCCCCCAUCCCCAGUGAAAGUUGCACCCCUGCAACUAUACACUGAGUGUACAAAACAUUAGGAACACCUGCUCUUUCCAUGACAUAGACUGACCAGGUGAAUCCAGGUCAAAGCUAUGGUCCCUUAUUGAUGUUAUCUGUUAAAAGCACUUCAAUCAGUGUAGCUGAAGGGGAGGAGACAGGUUAAAGAAGGAUUUUAUAGCCUUGAGACAAUUUAGACAUGGAUUGUGUAUGUGUGCCGUGCCAUGGCAUGGUAGUAGGUGCCCGGCGCACAUGUUUGAAUGUGUGGAUUUUUUUAUGCUCAACUGUUUCCCAUGUGUAUCAAGAAAGGUCCACCACCCAAAGGACAUCCAGCCAACUUGACAAAACUGUAGGAAGCAUUGGAGUCAACAUGGGCCAGCAUCCCUGUCGAACGCUUUAGUCAGCUUGCAGAUCCAUGCCCCCCCGAAAUGAGGCCGUUCUGAGUGCUAAAGGGGGUGCAACUCAAUAUUAGGAAGGUGUUCCUAAUGUUUUGUACACUCAGUGUAUAUCUGUGCAAUAAGUAGCGUAACAUAAAACCUGAAAUCAUGGCCAAUGUUUCACCUGUUGUGAAAUGAAAAAAAAGUCAAACUACUGCAUGUUUCUGCUCAUCUUUUGCACACAUGCAUGUGCUUUCCGCAAAUAAGCUUUUUUCAAAUAUUAAAGUUAUUGCAUAGCCUACGUGUUAUUCCUUUAUUACUGUACAUAGUAAAUUGUCAAAAAUGCUAAACGAUAUUUGACAAAAGACUUAAUAAGAGUACUUGAAAAGGACUGGCCAGGUGGUAACCUUCACUAUGUAGUGAGCUAGGCAUCCCAACAUUUGCACUGCUGCUUGCACUAAUUGACUUUCCGUUAUGGAUUUUUUUUCUUUGAAAUGUACAAAUAUUACAAAAUUGUACAACGAAUAUGUAUUAUUAUAACCCCAACCAACCAAUUAUUGUGACCCCAACCAACCUCACUACUCACUGGACCCUUAUGGUCACUCGGCUAAGCAUGCCUCUCAAUGUCAAUGUGCCUUGUCCAUUGCUGUUCUGGUUAGUGUUUAUUGGCUUAUUUCACUGUAGAGCCUCUAGCCCUGCUCAUUAAACCUUAUCCAACCUUUCAGUUCCACCACCCACUCAUGCGAUGACAUCACCUGGUUUCAAUGAUGUUUCUAGAGACAAUAUCUCUCUCAUCAUCACUCAAUGCCUAGGUUUACCUCCACUGUAUUCACAUCCUACCAUACCUUUGUCUGUACAUUAUACUUUGAAGCUAUUUUAUCGCCCCCAGAAACCUGCUCCUUUUACUCUCUGUUCCGGACGUCAUAGACGACCAAUUCUCAUAGCUUUUAGCCGUACCCUUAUCUUACUCCUCCUCUGGUGAUGUAGCUCAACUCCGAUUCCCCAGGCGCUCUCUUUUGAUGACUUCUGUAACCAUAAUAGCCUUGGUUUCAUGCAUGUUAACAUUAGAAGCCUCCUCCCUAAGUUUGUUUUAUUCACUGCUUUAGCACACUCUGCCAACCCGGAUGUCCUAGCCGUGUCUGAAUCCUGGCUUAGGAAGACCACCAAAAACUCUGAAAUCUCCAUCCCUAACUACAACAUUUUCAGACAAGAUAGAAUGGCCAAAGGGGGCGGUGUUGCAAUCUACUGCAGAGAUAGCCUGCAGAGUUCUGUCCUACUAUCCAGGUCUGUACCCAAACAAUUUGAACUUCUACUUUUAAAAAUCCACCUCUCUAAAAACAAGUCUCUCACCGUUGCUACCUGCUAUAGACCACCCUCUGCCCCCAGCUGUGCCCUGGACAACAUAUGUGAACUGAUUGCCCCCCCCAUCUAUCUUCAGAGCUCGUGCUGCUAGGUGACCUAAACUGGGACAUGCUUAACACCCUAGCCAUCCUACAAUCUAAGCUUGAUGCCCUCAAUCUCACACAAAUGAUCAAUGAACCUACCAGGUACCACCCCAAAGCCAUAAACACGCCCACCCUCAUAGAUAUCAUCUUAACCAACUUGCCCUCUAAAUACACCUCUGCUGUUUUCAACCAAGAUCUCAGCGAUCACUGCCUCAUUGCCUGCAUCCGUAAUGGGUCAGCGGUCAAACGACCUCCACUCAUCACUGUCAAACGCUCCCUGAAACACUUCAGCGAGCAGGCCUUUCUAAUCGACCUGGCCUGGAUAUCCUGGAAGGAUAUUGACCUCAUCUCGUCAGUAGAGGAUGCCUGGUUAUUUUUUUUAAAUGCCUUCCUCACCAUCUUAAAUAAGCAUGCCCCAUUCAAGAAAUUUAGAACCAGGAACAGAUAUUGCCCUUGGUUCUCUCCAGACCUGACUGCCCUUAACCAACACAUAAAAAUCCUGUGGCGUUCUGCAUUAGCAUCGAACAGCCCCCGUGAUAUGCAACUUCUCAGGGAAGUUAGAAACCAAAAUACACAGGCAGUUAGAAAAGCCAAGGGUAUCUUUUUCAAGCAGAAAUUUACUUCCUGCAACACAAACUCAAAAAAGUUCUGGGACACUGUAAAGUCCGAGGAGAAUAUGAACACCUCCUCCCAGCUGCCCACUGCACUAAGGAUAGGAAACUCGGUCACCACCGAUAAAUCCACUAUAACUGAGAAUUUCAAUAAGCAUUUUUCUACGGCUGGCCAUGCUUUCCACCUGGCUAUGCCUACCCUGGUCAACAGCACUGCACCCCCCACAGCAACUCGCCCAAGCCUUCCCCAUUUCUCCUUCUCCCAAAUCCAGUCAGCUGAUGUUCUGAAAGAGCUGCAAAAUCUGGACCCCUACAAAUCAGCCGGGCUAGACAAUCUGAACCCUUUCUUUCUAAAAUGAUCUGCCGAAAUUGUUGCAACCCCUAUUACUAGCCUGUUCAACCUCUCUUUUGUGUCGUCUGAGAUUCCCAAAGAUUAGAAAGCAGCUGCGGUCAUCCCCCUCUUCAAAGGAGAGGACAUUCUUGACCCAAACUGCUACAGACCUAUAUCUAUCCUACCCUGCCUUUCUAAGGUCUUCGAAAGCCAAGUCAACAAACAGAUUACCGACCAUUUCGAAUCCCACCGCACCUUCUCCGCUAUGCAAUCUGGUUUCAGAGCUGGUCAUGGGUGCACCUCAGCCACGCUCAAGGUCCUAAACGAUAUCUUAACCUCCAUCGAUAUGAAACAAUACUGUGCAGCCGUAUUCAUUGACCUGGCCAAGGCUUUCGACUCUGUCAAUCACCACAUCCUCAUCGGCAGACUCAAUAGCCUUGGUUUCUCAAAUGAUUGCCUCGCCUGAUUCACCAACUACUUCUCUGAUAGAGUUCAGUGUGUCAAAUCGUAUGGCCUGUUGUCCGGGCCUCUGGCAGUCUCUAUGGGGGUGCCACAGGGUUAAAUUCUUGGGCCGACUCUCUUCUCUGUAUACAUCAAUGAUGUCGCUCUUGUUGCUGGUGAGUCUCUGAUCCACCUCUACGCAGACGACACCAUUCUGUAUACUUCUGGCCCAUCUUUGGACACUGUGUUAACAACCCUCCAGACGAGCUUCAAUGCCAUACAACUCUCCUUCCGUGGCCUCCAACUGCUCUUAAAUACAAGUAAAACUAAAUGCAUGCUCUUCAACCGAUCGCUGCCUGUACCUGCCCGCCCAUCCAGCAUCACUACUCUGGACGGUUCUGACUUAGAAUAUGUGGACAACUACAAAUACCUAGGUGUCUGGUUAGACUGUAAACUCUCCUUCCAGACUCACAUCAAACAUCUCCAAUCCAAAGUGAAAUCUAGAAUUGGCUUCCUAUUUCGCAACAAUGCAUCCUUCACUCAUGCUGCCAAACAUACCCUCGUAAAACUGACCAUCCUACCGAUCCUCGACUUCGGCGAUGUCAUUUACAAAAUAGCCUCCAAUACCCUACUCAAUAAAUUGGAUGCAGUCUAUCACAGUGCCAUCCGUUUUGUCACCAAAACCCCAUAUACUUCCCACCACUGCGACCUGUACGCUCUCGUUGGCUGGCCCUUGCUUCAUACUCGUCGCCAAACCCACUGGCUCCAGGUCAUCUACAAGACCCUGCUAGGUAAAGUCCCCCCUUAUCUCAGCUCGCUGGUCACCAUAGCAGCACCCACCUGUAGCACGCACUCCAGCAGGUAAUUUCUCUCUGGUCACCCCCAUAGCCAAUUCCUCCUUUGGCCGCCUCUCCUUCCAGUUCUCUGCUGCCAAUGACUGGAACGAACUACAAAAAUCUCUGAAACUGAAAACACUUAUCUCCCUCACUAGCUUUAAGCACCAGCUGUCAGAGCAGCUCACAGAUCACUGUACCUGUACAUAGCCCAUCUAUAAUUUAGCCCAAACAACUACCUCUUCCCCUACUGUAUUUAUUUUGCUCCUUUGCACCCCAUUAUUUAUAUUUUUACUUUGCACUUUCUUCCACUGCAAAUCUAUUUGUUCUUGUAGUUUGGUCAGGACGUGGCAGGGGGUAUUUGUUUUAUGUGGUUCAGGGUGUGUUUGUGUAUGUGUUCAUGUAGAGGGGGUAUUUGGUUUAUAUGGUUCGGGGUGGUUAUGUAUGUAGAGGGGUAUUUGAUUUAUUAGUCGAGGGUUUUGGUUAUCGUUCUAUGUUAGUUUUUCUAUGUUCUGUCUAGGUGUUUGUAUUUCUAUGUUUUGGUAAUGGGGAUUGGGGCCUUCAAUUGGAGGCAGCUGUCUAUCGUUGCCUCUGAUUGAAGGUCCUAUAUUUAGGAGUGUGUUUGUCAUGGGAUUUUGUGGGAAAUUGUUGCUGUGUAUUGCUUUGUGCCUUACCGGUCUGUUCUUUGUCUUGUUUUUUGUAUACGUGUUUGUUUUGGUUUUCCUUCUUUGUCCUUUAAUAAAAGAAGAUGAGUAUACAUUUUCCCGCUGCGUUUUGGUCUAAAGCCCUACGACACCGUGACAGAAUCUCCCACCAAACACGGACCAAGCAGCAGAGGAGGGAGCAGCAACAGAGCCCAGUGGAAUCAUGGACAUGGGAGGAAAUUCUGGACGGGGCUGGACCAUGGCACCAGGCUGGGGAACAUCGUCGCCCACCGGAGGAGAUAGAGGCAGCCAGUUUGUUCAGUUUGCUUCCGUUUAAGAAAUGUUUUUCAACAGAAUAAAUACACCCCUGAUCACGUGUGAACACACAGCCAAGUUGUACUCGUUCUCGCGUCUUUGCGCUCUCGUCCUCUCCUUUUCCCUUCGCUUGUGGAAUUCAAUGCACAACACAUCAGCUGUAUGUGACCAGGCUAAAAAACCUUUCCAAGCCACAGCCUACAUCGUUGUCAUCAUAUUAGCUAAAGUAAUGUCCUAGUCAACAUAGCUAAUAGAACUAAUGCAUUAGUAAACCCACUACAAUCAUGCAGUUACAUCGGCGGGCCAGGUGGCAAUACAUUUGUAAAAACAAAAGCUUACCUUGACUUGGAAGAGUUCCAGUGUUGUGGUGGAUAGUCAUAGCCAGCUAGCUAACAUAGCAUCCCUCUGUUUGAGCAGGGUGUUUCAGUAGGCUAUACUAGCUAAGUAAGUGAAACUGAAAGUGAAAAAAAACGACAAUCUCUAUAUAGAUUUCUCUCUUGCUUCUCCUUCAUUUUGGAGUAAAUUAAUUAGUUCAAAAUUGUUCAAUUAUUCUUUUUCUCUCUCUUUGAGUCAACUACUCACUACAUUUUAUGCCCUGCAGUGCUAGCAAGCUGCUUUCAUUACUAGAUUCAUUUUCUGAUCCUUUGAUUGGGUGGACAUAUCAGUUGAUGCUGCAAGAGCUCUGAUAGGUUGGAGGACGUCCUCGGAAGUUGUCAUAAUUACUGUGAAAGUCUAUGGAAGUGAGUGAGAUCCAUGAGCCUCCUAGGUUUUGUAUUGAAGUCAAUGUACCCAGAGGAGGACGGAAGCUAGCUGUCCUUCGGCUACACCAUGGUGCUACCCUACAGAGUGCUGUUGAGGCUACUGUAGACCUUUGCAAAUUGUGUGUUUUAAUCGAUUAUUUGGUGGCAUGAUUAUAUUUAGUGUAGUUUUAUCUAAAAAUGAUCACUUUUAAAUGUUUUAAAUUAUACUUUUAUGAUUUCAGUGAGGAGGAUGGUCCUCCCCGUCCUCCUCUGAGGAGCCUCCACUGAUGACAACAUGGUGCGAUCCACUCGACUGCCUUCAUCAUACAAGCCCAAGUCACGUAACCUUAUCCAAAUACUACUUGGGUGGUGGGAUGGCUCACCACUGCCAUCUGCUGUAUCGUAACUAAACUGCUCCAUGGCAC